UCCGUCGUAGUCUAGUUGGUUAGGAUACUUGGCUCUCACCUGAGCGACCUGGGUUAAAGACUCGGCAGAGGAA